GCCAGCAUGGUGUAGUGGGCUGGAGUAUUGGACUAUGACUCUGGAGACCAGGAUUCGAUUCCCUGUUUGGCC